CAGUAGCCGCGGGAAUACGGAGGGUGCAAGCGUUAUCCGGAUUUAUUGGGUUUAAAGGGUCCGUAGGCGGACUUAUAAGUCAGUGGUGAAAGCCUGUAGCUUAACGAUAGAACUGCCAUUGAUACUGUAAGUCUUGAGUAUAUUUGAGGUAGCUGGAAUAAGUAGUGUAGCGGUGAAAUGCAUAGAUAUUACUUAGAACACCAAUUGCGAAGGCAGGUUACCAAGAUAUAACUGACGCUGAGGGACGAAAGCGUGGGUAGCGAACAGGAUUAGAUACCCCAGUAGUCCCUGUCUCUUAUAC
rnacentral:rRNA from 1 species